rnacentral:rRNA from 1 species
AGUGGCGGACGGGUGAGUAACGCGUGAGAAUCUGCCUUGGGGUCGGGGACAACCACUGGAAACGGUGGCUAAUACCGGAUAAGCCGAUUGGUGAAAGAUUUAUUGCCCGAAGAGGAGCUCGCGUCUGAUUAGCUAGUUGGUGAGGUAAGAGCUCACCAAGGCAGCGAUCAGUAGCUGGUCUGAGAGGACGAUCAGCCACACUGGGACUGAGACACGGCCCAGACUCCUACGGGAGGCAGCAGUGGGGAAUUUUCCGCAAUGGGCGAAAGCCUGACGGAGCAAGACCGCGUGAGGGAGGAAGGCUCUUGGGUUGUAAACCUCUUUUCUCAGCGAAGAAGCUCUGACGGUACCUGAGGAAUCAGCCUCGGCUAACUCCGUGCCAGCAGCCGCGGUAAUACGGAGGAGGCAAGCGUUAUCCGGAAUUAUUGGGCGUAAAGCGUCCGCAGGUGGCGAUUCAAGUCUGCUGUCAAAGCACGGGGCUUAACUCCGUAAAGGCAGUGGAAACUGAAUAGCUAGAGUGCCGUAGGGGUAGAGGGAAUUCCCGGUGUAGCGGUGAAAUGCGUAGAGAUCGGGAAGAACAUCGGUGGCGAAAGCGCUCUACUGGACGGCAACUGACACUCAGGGACGAAAGCUAGGGGAGCGAAUGGGAUUAGAUACCCC